GGCGAUCGAUGGUGAGCGCAGCGUACGCGAGCCUAACACAUGCAAGUCGAGCGGAUGACGGGAGCUUGCUCCUUGAUUCAGCGGCGGACGGGUGAGUAAUGCCUAGGAAUCUGCCUGGUAGUGGGGGACAACGUUUCGAAAGGAACGCUAAUACCGCAUACGUCCUACGGGAGAAAGCAGGGGACCUUCGGGCCUUGCGCUAUCAGAUGAGCCUAGGUCGGAUUAGCUAGUAGGUGAGGUAAUGGCUCACCUAGGCGACGAUCCGUAACUGGUCUGAGAGGAUGAUCAGUCACACUGGAACUGAGACACGGUCCAGACUCCUACGGGAGGCAGCAGUGGGGAAUAUUGGACAAUGGGCGAAAGCCUGAUCCAGCCAUGCCGCGUGUGUGAAGAAGGUCUUCGGAUUGUAAAGCACUUUAAGUUGGGAGGAAGGGUUGUACGCUAAUACCGUGCAAUUUUGACGUUACCGACAGAAUAAGCACCGGCUAACUCUGUGCCAGCAGCCGCGGUAAUACAGAGGGUGCAAGCGUUAAUCGGAAUUACUGGGCGUAAAGCGCGCGUAGGUGGUUCGUUAAGUUGGAUGUGAAAGCCCCGGGCUCAACCUGGGAACUGCAUCCAAAACUGGCGAGCUAGAGUAUGGUAGAGGGUGGUGGAAUUUCCUGUGUAGCGGUGAAAUGCGUAGAUAUAGGAAGGAACACCAGUGGCGAAGGCGACCACCUGGACUUGAUACUGACACUGAGGUGGCGAAAGGCGGUGGGGGAGCA
rnacentral:rRNA from 1 species